ensembl:lncRNA
GAACUAUGAUAUACUGCAAGAAAUGAAGACAACUUAUUGCUCUAUUCAUAGAAUUGAGGAAUCAUUAAGGUUGGAAAAGACCUCUAAGAUUAUCUAGUCCAACCAUCAGCCCAUUCCCACCAUGCCCACCGAACCAUGCCCUGCAGUAUUACGUCUCCAUGAUUCUUCAGCGCCUCCAGUCUCCCUACGCUGAGGCAUUUUGUCGGCGAAGCCACCACCCCUGUGGCAAUGAGUGAACUGGUCUCUGAUCACCACGGGACUGCUUUUG